GAUGAACGCUGGCGGCGUGCCUAAUACAUGCAAGUCGAACGAACAGACGAGGAGCUUGCCCGUCUGACGUUACCGGCGGACGGGUGAGUAACACGUGACUAACCUACCUAUGAGGCUGGGAUAACUUCGGGAAAGCGGAGCUAAUACCGAAAUAUAAAUUCAACAGCAUGUAUUGAUAGUAAAAGACGGUUUUACUGUUACUUAUAGAUGGAUUCGGCUAGCAUUAGCUAGUUUGGAAGGUAACGGCUUACAAAGGCGACGAUUCGUAGCCGACCGGAGAGGGUGGUCGGCCACACUGGACCUGAACCACGUCCCGGACCCCUACGGGAGGGAACAGUAGGGAAACUUCCGCAAUGGGAGAAAGGCUGACCUAACAAAGCCGCGCGGGGUACAAAGGUCCUGGGAUAGGAAAAGUCUGUUAUUAGGGAAGAACAAAUGUGUAAGUAACUAUGCACGUCUUGACGGUACCUUAACAGAAAGGAACGGCUAACUACGUG
rnacentral:rRNA from 1 species